rnacentral:rRNA from 1 species
UACGUAGGGUGCGAGCGUUAAUCGGAAUUACUGGGCGUAAAGCGUGCGCAGGCGGUUUUGUAAGCCAGGUGUGAAAUCCCCGGGCUCAACCUGGGAAUGGCAUUUGGGACUGCAAGGCUGGAGUGCGGCAGAGGAGACUGGAAUUCCUGGUGUAGCAGUGAAAUGCGUAGAUAUCGAGGAGGAACACCGAUGGCGAAGGCAGGUCUCUGGGCUGACACUGACGCUCAUGCACGAAAGCGUGGGGAGCAACAGG